UUAGCUGAAAAGACGUAAAGGCAGUCAGCCCAGUGGUGUUUCUGGAGAGGGAUUCCUUCAGAAAUGGAGAAGACAGAAAGCUGCGGAGGCAGAUAUUUGCAGCAGUCUAAAAUAUCGAGCUCAACAGCUAUUUUAAGAGCCAACCCUCACAAACCUUCCUAAAACCUAAAAGAGCUAUUACUGAGUCUCAGCGAAUCUUGCCACGAUCAGCUCUUCCCAGAAGAGAAGGAAGACCAAGGAUAUGAUUUGCUCAGGAUGAGGAAUGAAGAUGGCCAUCUUGAGCUCAAACAAACAGAAGUCCUCUGAUGAUCUCAUCAGCCAAAUGAGGGGUUUUGACCAAGUGAUGCUCUUGAAAGGAGUGAAAGAAGAGGAUGUGGUAAAUUGUCUUCAGAGAAAAGCUUCUCAAAAGAUCUUAAAACAGCUUGAAGAAUGGUCUGGGAUCUUAGGACUGAGAGAUCAUCUGGCUGAGAACAAGCUACACCACAUCAGUGCUGGAUAUCAACCACAAACUGUUUCCAGACACGAGAGAAGAAGAUCACGAUGGGGAGAUGAAACCAGUUUAGAUGUGAUGAUGGGAAUCAUUAUUUUCUGAAACAGUAUCACAUGUCUUAUAUGUAUCACAUGAUCUGUAUCACAGUUGACUGGAUGGGACUGUGUGACUUUUAAGGACAUUUCAUCACUCAUCUGUGUGAACUGAUUUAUAUAUGAGGUUAAUGUAUCUUUGAUGAUAAUUAUUUUCAUUGAAUCUUAUUUGUCUUGAUGCUACUUUAUCAACUUUAUAGUCUAUGCUUCAAUAAAAUGAAAAUGGUGAAUAUUGUGUUCUGAAGAUUCUUGGUAAAUACAUCAUUUUACUAGGUAGGCUCAUAUGUGUUUAUUUUAGACUUGGAAAAACGACAUAUUAAUUAUUGGGAUUAUUUUUUUAUUUAAGACAUGCACAUUUUUGAUCGGAUUAAUAACAUCUGGGACAUCAGUACACCAGAAAGUAAUUUUUUUAUAUUUUAGUAACAAAUAUGCACAUUUUUUGUGAAAUACAGGGAGUUACAAGAUUAAUUAUUCUGCAUUACAAGAUGGUGCCAUGGGCUUUAUUGUUACAAACACUUGAGGGAUAACUGAGAAUGUAGCAGGAAUGAUCAACAUGGAUCUUGUACUGUAUUCAAACCAAGAGCAGGCACAUUACUGAUGUCCAGCACAUGAGGAGCAAGAUACGGGGGUGAGGAGGACAUUUUUACACUGAUUUCGGCUAAUUAGUUAUAUAUAAUGAUAAUAUAUAUAUAUAUAUAUAUAUAUAUAUAUAUAUAUAUAUAUAUAUAUAUAUAUAUAUAUAUAUAUAUAAAUAUUCUUAGCACUGCAUGAAUUUGUCCUUGUGUAAUAGUGAAGUAUCACAAUGUGUAUACAUUGUCCUUGAUUACUGCUUUACAGUGGGGAAUAGAUAAUGGCAAGUUGUUGCAGGUUCAUCCAUUAUAUUUCUUGCCAUUUACUUCAAAAAUCAAAGAAAUAAUCUAUUAUUUUCAUUAUUAAAUCAUUUCUUUAUAAUUUUUCCAUGUUUCAUCAGAUGGCCUCACAAUGUCCUGUCAAAAGGUAUAAUAGCCAUGAUGAAUAGAAUAGAAAACAGAGGACUGUGAAAACUGUCAGAUAUAAAUGUGACUCAGCUCAGUUUGUUGUUCAUGAUGAGGAGAAUACAUAUAUGUAGGUUUUACUGCCCUGCUACCCCCAGGGGCCCAGUAGCACCCCCCGGAAGAGCCCAAAACUGUACAUUUCAAAUGGCUGUAAAUCAGAGUCCAAUUAACAUAUCAAAGAGAAAAUGGGCAGGAUUGUUACUUAUGCUAUGCUGAUAAAAUAAUGUUGAGCUCAGUUUUCAGAAAUAAGUGGAAAGCUGGCAUAAAAGCAUUUUAAAUAUUGCUCACUGUAAAAUACCACAUUUCAGCCUGCCUCUCAAAUAUAUCAUAGAGGUUUGCACAAUAAACAUAUUUAGAUAUCCAGUUUACCUUAAAUAAAUAAUUUAUUUAGUUUCGUUAAUAAAAAGUUUUAAACUACAUUACCCACAAGCCUCCGUCGUUCUAUCUAUAGAAAGGCAACACUAGGGGGCUGUUUUUGUAGUUCAUUGAAGUUAUGCUUAGGGUUAGGAUUAGGAUCUCGCUAAAGAUGUCAUUUUUCUCAAGAUAGCAACACUUCAUUGUUGACUUAAUAUAUUACUAAUGUGAUGAUAGGAGCAAAACAUACUUUUUAACAUGAUGCGCUGUUUAAUAUGGGUUAAAAGAUAGUCCAACCACAGACUGUCCUGAAAAGUCAUAGCCAAUGGCAUCUAAGCUGAGCAGCAGCGUCACACUUCCUUAUCCAUGUAUGACAGAUGUCUUUCGUUUUUUCGGCUGAAGGGAUAGAUUCGGUUAACAAUAGAUUAAGCUUGCUACUUAUUAGAUUCUGUUUUAUUAACGUCUUCACCUUCCUCCGUUGUUCAGCUUGACAAAAAUUGGGCAAUAUUGAUGUGCACAUGCCCAGCAGUCGCAGUUGUAUCCAACAGAUAGAUUCCUCUCAUUAAAUAUAAAGACACAUUUUUAAGAUUUGUAUUUUUUUUUUUUGACCAAAGACAAAUAUAUUUACUAAUCAAAUGACGUGCUUCUAAAAUUUACAUUGUAUAUUACAUUGUGUUUUAAAGUUAAAAUUGUUCACAUUUGUGUUUCUGUGAUUUACCAUUCUCUACCAUUUGAACCCUAGGAAUAAAAACAGAAAUUAUAAAUUAAUGAAUGAACAAAUACAUAAAGCAUAAUAAACAUGCAUAUUUUUGUAAGGAUCUUCCAUUAUUUAUUGAUAUGUCAAACUCAUUUAAAGACAACAUGCCCAAAUUACUACACUGCAUCCUCUGUCACCAAGCUCGUUUUUGCCACCAUAAAGAAUAAAAAGGCAGUUAUGUUGUAAACAUUAACUAUUUUCAGUAUGCAAAUGAAAAUGCUUUUAUUAAAAAAACAAAACAGUAAAUACAGUAUGUCUUUCAGAGAAACACUGGAAAAAGAUCAAUUUUAUUAAAAAAAUUAAAUUGACCAAAAUGUUAUACAACACAAUGUAAAUGUUUCAAACUCACAAAAAAACACCAUUAAGACAUGCAUGUCAAGUGUGCAAUAUCAUCUAUAAAACUCAAUCAGCACAGCAUCAAAUAAACACUGAUUGUCUGAACAAUGGAAGACAGAGAAAGUGUUCAGGAAAACAAACACCUGCUAGCUUUGACAAUAACAUCAUGAAUUCACUUCAUGACUGGAGCUAGGGGAUGACUGUGUAAUGAAUAUCUCCUUUACUAAAACUCUUAAUUAAAGUCUAAAAAAGUUCACUGUAUGAAGCUUGAAAAAGAGAACAAAAUGCUUUAUCAAUACGAAAAAUACUAUUUUUAACUAUUGUUUUCAUCACUGGUUCUGUAAUGUAUUCAUUAUGAGCUUAUAAAUAAAACAAAGUUACAUCUUCUGCAAAAAUCAAACCACUGCAAAGUCUAAUCACUGAUCCAGGGACCAUAUCUGUGUGUGUGGGGGAUAAAGAGUUAACGAGGUGAGUCCUUGUGCAUGAUGGAGAACUGCAGUGUUAUCCUCAAACAAUCCUGUAAAACAGAAAUAUUACAUUACAUCAACACUGUGUUUUGUUUAGACCAUAAAAGCAGCCUCUGUAAAGAUGCUGUAAAAUUAAAUGUUAAAUGAAUCCAUUAUUGAAAGCAAGUAAUUAAUAACAAGCUAUAGUCAUAUGAAUUCUUUUGAUAGUGUCAGAUGAGACCGUCCUGGGGCUUGUACAAUAUCAUACAAGUGUUAAACUGGAUUAUUAAGACUGUGAUGUGUUUAGUACAGUAUGUGAA
ensembl:lncRNA